AUCUGAACCGUCCGUUUCGCUAGCUACAGUAAAUUCCAAUCCCGCUUUUCACCACAGCCGUCGGAUAUGGUAAUUUUUUUUCCACCAGCCUCUGCUUGUUCUGAGUGCAUGACUCUUGGGACCGUGCGUGUGUGGGACCGUUUAUUUGAGAGAGUGAGGGUACGUGCUCGCGUCGCUUGAAAAAUGAAAACCGUGAAAACCCUAACUUUACCGAGAGCUUCCUCUCCCCAAUCCCGUGCCUCCCUCUCCUCCACCAAUCCAGUCCUCCUUUUUUCGUCCCCAAUCCGCGGCGCCGGAGAAGAAGCGGCCAGCCCGAGCAAUGGAGGUGCUUGCAGCAGUCAGCACGGCUUGGGCACGGCCGGAGACGGUCCGGCGCGUGGCGGAUCCGCGGCGUCUACCGCAGGCGCCGGGCGCGGCCGGAGACGGGCUGGCAUGGGGCGGAUCCGCGGCAGCGGCGACCGGAGGCGCCAGGCGCGGCCGGAGACGGUCCGGCGAGUGGCGGAUCCGCGGCAGCGGCGACCGGAGGCGCCAGGCGCGGCCGGAGACGGUCCGGCGAGUGGCGGAUCCGCGGCGGCGGUCAAGGAGAUGCAGCUGAUCUUUGCAACUGCGGUUUUAUGAUUCAUAUUUUCGGGAACUGAAAGUUUCCUCAUGACCUCAAGGGUAUUGUUGCAGCAACCGUGAGCUCGCUAUGCACGACUCAGCUCAGUCAGCUGGGAAGCGAUGCCAGAAAUAGUCCAGGCCCCUUGCGUUGGUGGUGGAUGCCUGCAUAAAAGUUGCUCAUGAUGUGUGGAACCACAGCUCCGUCAAUCACUAGGAUUGGAUACAACAUGGUCAUUUAUGUGGUGGAGAGGGAGUCCUGGAGGUCAUCGUCAACCAGAGAUUGCUAAUGUUCUUUCCUGAGGCAAAUGAGGUUACUAUUGCAAGACAUACAACCUUUGUGCCAUUGUUUAUAUUUGUAAGUGGAUGUAUCCCUUUGUUAGAGCUCAUGCUCCAUUGGUUACCUUUAAUGGGGAGCUAGAAACUCUUAUCCUGUAAUUCCAUAUUUGUAGAUUUGACAAUUGAUUAGACUUCUAUAUUGGACGUUGCAAGAGGGAUUAUUUUCCUUCCGUAGUAUUGUUCGACUCAUAUCUUUUUAUUUUACAUUUUUCAGCAUUUUUUGCUUAAUCUUUGUCAUUUUUGGAUCUUGGUAAGGUUUGGAGCGUAUCAAACCUUUGCAUUUAUGGUAACCCUUUUAAUUACUAAAAAUAAUGGAGUUUUCCAUUCUGUGAGUUUCUAUUUUUAUUUCCCUGGAUGUCGAGUUAGUUUUGGUGAGGCCGGUUCAGGCCCGAUCCAUUGCCUCCUUCAUGCUCCAGACCAAGCUCUCCAUCAAGCCAAGUGGCGGGUGAAGCUGGAGCCAGAGCGCACGCCAAGUGACGGCGACAGCCGGACGCGGCAGCGGCGGUAGGCAGCGUGCGCCAAGUGACGGGGCGGGUGGAUGCUGCAGCAGCAGCUCCCCCUCCCCCUUCUCUUCAUCUCUCUAAUGGUUUGUCAUAUUUCAGAAAUAUCAGAGCUUAUACCUGGAUAAAGGUAUGAAGAAUCUGAUGGCAAUUGAUCCCCCGUUGGUCACCGCUGGUCGGGAGCGUCGCUGUGCGAAGAGCAGGUGGGGCCGCAUCAGCCGUCGCCUUGGGUCCUGCCGCUCCUCCCCAAUCUCCCGCCUCGACGUGUAGAGGGGUCGAAGCUGUGGGGGAUGCAACAUUGACGGGCGGGCAUUCGCUGGAGGGGUGCGUCCUGGAGGAGGGUGGCGGCGUUCCAGUGAGAGGCCCUGGGUUGGGAGGAGAGGACGUGGGAGGAGGACGAGAAGGGGUGAGGGCGCUCGACCCCGCCGCCCAGCAACGCCGACGGCCAACAUCUACAGUGACGCCGCUAGGGUUGGGCGACACCUCCAUCGGAGAUCCCUAUCGAAGCUUGCACAGGCUCCGCGUAGCCGCCGCCAGCGCCUCCUCGUUCCUGUGGGCAGUGCCAUCAAGGACAUCUCCCCCAAGCGUGGUCUCCACCAGCAGCACCCCCUGGCGCUCGCACGGGAACCGGCCGGCACGUCCGUCUUCACCAGGCCAAGAAAGAUUAGGGUUUGGGUGUCCAGGAGAUUCACUGACAGCAGCACCAGCCAUCAUUGGUUUUUAUGGACUCCAUGGCUGUUGUAAGAGGAAUGGAGCAAAAGGGUGAUUUUUUUUGGUGGGUCUGAUCGUUGUUGUUCUGCUUGAUUACCACAACAAUAGGGUUGCUCCCUCCUGCAAAGUAUCGACCACAUCUAUGCCUCCCUCCACAUCCUCUCCUCCAUUUAUAUCUACAUAUUUUUUUGUGCCAUAUAAUAAAAGGUGAAGAGCGGCGCUAGGGAACCACGCCUAGGAGCAUGCUCAUGGUGGUACCUACAUCGCAACAAUGCAUGGUUACGGAUGUCCUCAGCCCGAGCUAGGCUUCCUUGUCGAUGACUUGCCAUCUACAGCAUCUCUGCAGGAUUGUUGCUUGGUUGGAUAUAGAAACAAAUGAAGAUGUGGAAAGGAUUCUUGAGGGGAACAGUUCAUCACGGGGCGCUGUUUCCAGGGGCAAAUUGCGGUGUUGGUGUUGCUUCACAGGUUUGGUGAGAUACUUCAGGUGUUACUGUUAUCAUUGUUGUGCAUUGCCCAUGUUAAACUUUUGCUCUUUUACGCCGAGGGGUUGCCGUGGGAACCGCAUCGGCUCUGUUUUCUGCUUAUUGUGUGUGCUCUGUUGACCACAUAGUGGCUGCUUCAUUUCUUCUUCUGUUCCUUGACAUGUGCGGUGAUCGGUUUGCUUUGUGUGUUGUCCAAUCUGUUCUAGCUAUCAAGUUUGAUUACCGGUGAUAUGUAAUACCCAAUUGGUCUAUAGCCAAAUCACUUGGGUGGGCACAUGAUAUGUAUGCCACCUAGCAACAGCCUGUAUUGACACAUCUUCACUGCUAUUUUGGAAUGUAAUUAUUGGUUUUUUGCUUUGCCGGAUUGAUCUCUACCUCUUAUUCUCUGGACUUAUAUUAUUUGAGAUUUUUGGGAUGCUAAAUAUUGCUUUUUUGCAUUGCAAGAUUGAUUUAUACCUCUUAUGUUCCGAAUCUAUAUUAUUUAGGACUUACGAUGUGGGUUUCUUAUAUUUGUUGUCUGUAUUUUGGCACUUUCCUUACUCUGAAAGUGUAUUCUGAUAUGUUGUGCAUUUGUGCAUAAAAGAGCCGACUUACAACAACAUUUCGGGACAACAUGCCACCAUGGAACGAAAUCAUGGUUAAGUAGAUGUAUUGUGCAAUUCUAUAAGCCCGAAAAAAAAAGCUUCAAGCUUCGUUCAAUCUAAUAUUCUACUUUAAAUUUCUGUUCAGUAGUACACAAAGUAGGAGCAAUCAUUCUUGCCCAUUCCAGAGUGUAUAUACUAUCUGCUCUACAGAAAAUUUGUUGGUUAUCAUCUCCUAUAUCUUUGACAGUGACCCUGCAUAUACUUCUUUUGCGAAUACGCAAAAUCCUUGUGUAUCAUUGCAUUAAAAGAGAAACAGUUAUAGAGAGUACAUAUAAUAUCUGAAGUAUUGUAGUUUUUUUGGGUGUAUCAGCUUUAUUAUUACAGCUGUUAUGUCUGUCUAUGGAGCCAUUUGCAAUUGAUGCCAGUGAUAGUAAAAAAUUAAAGAGUCUACCACUGUUUUCAUGGUCACAUGAUAUACUACCUCUUUGUGUAAGCUCUAUGCAGAAUACAUUUUGGAAGUUUAGACAUGCAUGGUUGGCUAAUAAUGUCUUUGGAAGUUUGAUAUACUUAUUUGAACCUGUAGCUCUAUGCAGAAUACAUUAGCAUUGUGUAAAAUUCUUUCUAAGCUCUCAUUUCUUAUAUUAGCAGAAUACAUUUUGGAAGUGUAAACAUGCAUGGGUUAUUUUUUUCUCGAAUUUGGUAGCAAACCUGCAUUAUUGCAGUUCCAUACAAUAGCAAAGGUUAUGCUAGCAAGAGUGUCAGUGUACCAUAGUUUCUUAUUUGAUAUUGAUGAGCUGAUAUGCUCUUGAUGGAUGGUACUGUUUGUAUUUAUAGAGAUGCUACUAGCUUAAGAAGUUUUUUUAUUGCUUAUCUCUGUUUCUUGCUGAAUUACAGUGUUAAAUCAAGUAGCAGUGACCCUUUUUGUAUUCAUUAUCUUUGCUAUUGUAUGGAGCUGCCAGUACCGCAUAAGUUAAUGAGCAAGAGGUGGUUAAGAGGUGGUUGAUCGCCGUCCUGUAGGUUAGCUUUGCAGGAGCUGCGGCCAGAUGGACCGUGGACGCGCGUCCAGUGCACGAACAUGGCCCAGGAGUGGCACCGGUGUGCUUGGCAGUGAGCCAGUGAGGUGUGAACAGGUAGUGAGGUGUAAAUACGUUCUCAAAGUUUCCUGAAGCUUAUAUUUGUGCAUGAUCUGUGGCACCUAACAAAGGUAUUGGAGAACCGAGGGUAUUGAUUUGGAUCAACAUUUUGAUUGCAAGAUAUUUUUUGCAAGUGGCCAAUUGCGAUCACACUUAUUUGAAACCCAUACGUCGGUGAUGAAGGAGCUUACCACCAUCGAAUGUGUCAAUGCUAUAUGGGCCAUGCAUGCGACAAACCAGCAAUGCCCACGGAGGAUGGCAGCAUUGAGGGCCGCCCGUGGGGAGAAGACGAGGAAGAGGGUAAGGCAGUGGGGCUGACGGAAGUGAGUUCGCUCGAUGGAUUUGAUCCGAUGGUCGUGCGCCCGGAGGACGCAAUGCAUGCGAUCCCUCGGAUGAUUAGCAGUGUUUUCCAUAUAUUUAUUGGCUAUCUUGACAGGGUAGCUUUUGCUCAUAUGGUGACAACAUAGGGCUUCCUUGAAUUGGAUUUCUUUCAUAGUCCCUGUCUGGUGCAUUGUACAUGUAUUUUUUCAUUUUCGCACUAAUUGAGUUGUUGCCUUGAAAUUUCUUGAGAUUCUUUGUUCCAAAAGGGGGCCCUUAUGUUAAGGCCAGUUUGCAGAUCGCCUUUUCUUUGCUCA